UUAGCAUACGUUCAAGCGGACGUCCCACGAAACCGUCAAUUUCUUUGCUCUUAUGCCAUUGCGAAAUGGUUAGCCAAGGAACACACAGGCCAAGGUCCGGAUCCCACUCUCCUUCGAUUGGUUUUAGCGAAGAAUCUCGAGACCACGCGUCUGCAGAUCAAAUGGCCUUCAAACUUCUGAGACCGAUCCUUCGAUUUCAAAUGGUGGAUGUCUUCGCGCCAAUCUCUUUCUUUAAUUUAUCACCGGUAAAUGUCUUAGCGCCAAUCUGAGAUUUCUACUUUUCAGAUGAUUAUUCGUAUUAUUAAGGUUGAUCGCAUCUUCUGCUUGUUAGUUUAAACACAUUAAGAAGUUAAUGUUUUAUCCAGUUUGAAUUGAGGAAUAGAUUCGCAAAAUGAAGCAGGUUGUACUCUGUCGCUUACGGAAUUAAGCUAGAGCCAUGAAUUGUCUCCAUCUCGCCGCUAAGUACCCUGUUAUGAUUCUAGCUCGUUACCUUCCUUUCCUUUUCCUUGUUCGUGGGGGCAUUCGGAUAAAGAAGUUAAGAUCGCACAAUACGAAUGAGGUUAUAUUUUAUGGAGUGUCAUGCUGUUUUCGUCUUUGAUUGUGGUUGCAGGACAGCCCUAUUUUCUUCAACUAAGACGUCAAGGUUUUCAUCCCAAGUAUUAUUAUGCAUGCUUAUUAUUUGAUCCAUGUUUUCCAUGGGAUUUUUGACGGAUUAUGUAUGCCCGUGGACUAACAAAAGUUUGAUUAACAUGGAAAUCUUUUUGUCGAUGAAAUUUCUGCCUCAAUGUGAUAUGCUUUUAGUCACAAAUUUGUUAGAACAUACAUUAUAAUAUACAAAUUACUUGCUCGUGUUGGAAUUCAUGGUUUUUCUGGUUCAUGAAAGAAUAUAUUGAAGCAGCAAAGUCCGUGUUUUCUAUUGGAGAGUAUUGGGAUUCUUGUAAUUAUAAUGGCCAUGACUUGGACUAUAAUCAAGAUAGACAUAGAAUGGAUAAUAGAUUGGAUUGACAACACAGGAUAACUUUCAUCUGCUUUUGAUUUUACAACCAAGGGAGUUCUUCAGGUAUCCCUGUAUGUGAGGCCAUUGCAAACCCCCGUCCCCCCUCCAAAGUGCCCAUUGACCCCUUCCUGCCAGCCAUGUCAUGGAGGCAUCCAAACUGUAUAAGCUUGGAAUAGAGUGUUAUCUUGUUUGCAGUCUAAUUCUCGCUCACUCCGCUGUGGCUUCUGUCAGCUAUGCUUCGUUUUAUAGUAAGUCUAAAUACCUAAUCACCUGUUCAUCAUAAUUUGUUGUGGUUUUUGGAUUGUUUGAUCCAACAAAGCUUUUGUACGAUUCGAGCCCCAUCUUCCUAUAUUGGAUGUUUUUAAGCAAGUUAUUCUCUGAGAUUUGACUACAUAAUAAGUUAGUUUCCAAAAUUUAGCUGCAAAUCUUAAGAGUAUAACUGUUUAGCAGGCUGAGUGAUCAAUCUUCGAUGUUUCUAAACCAUGGUAGAGGAGUACUUGUUGUCUUUUAAUUGUUGCCUCGAAACCAGUUUUUACACCCCACCUGUUCCUUAUCAGGUUGCAACUCCUAUCAUGGGUAGGACCUUCCCUUCAGUACGUAUGAAUUCUGAUUUUUCACAAAUUUUAUGUUGUUUUCAAGAUUAUACUCCAUGGAUGUCUGUCUUUACAUCUGGAGGUGUAAUUAGUGAGCAAUCAUCGAUUCUUAGGAUGAAUGUUAGGGCGUGGAGGAAGACUGAAGUCAAUCUGAAUGUGUGAACCUCUGUGGAUAUUGCAAAGGGGUCUCUAGUGUAUUAGAACUCUAAAUUAAAUUUGGUAAGUAUGUAUAUUGAUUGGAUGACUUCGGUUAAGGGAUGGGAUUUGAACAUCCAUUAUGAAGUGCAGAACAUAAGAGAAUGUAGGGAGAGAGUUUAGGCGUGCAGGCUGAAAUAUCAUUUGAUCGGUAGUUGAUCGAUUCAAUUCAUUUUGGAUCAGUUUGAUAGUUUGUUUAGGCAUAUAUGAUAUUUCAAAAACGUUAGUUUCGGUAUAAUUUUGGCCAUAAAUUGUGUCGAACGGACCUUAUGGUGAGUGCCACAUGGCCGAAGAGCAGGGAAGUGACUACCAAGCAUCACCAUCACAAUACCAUGGUCAAUGGCUCUUAUCAUUUUUGCUUUGAAACUCCAAAAGAUAUACAGACCAACGCCACCCUUCCACAGCUUCCCUUGCCCCAACCUUCAUCGUGUAUAUGUUGUAUUAGUUGGAUCAUUGCCAUGUUCAUCAACAGUGAACCUCUAUAGUUCUUAUAUUUUCUUUUUCUG